UAACUUAGUGGCGGACGGGUGAGUAACGCGUGAGAAUCUGCCUUCAGGACGGAGACAACAGUUGGAAACGACUGCUAAGCCCCGAUGAACCGAAAGGGAAAAUAUUUAUAGCCUGAAGAUGAGCUCGCGUCCGAUUAGCUAGUUGGGGGGUAAAGGCCCACCAAGGCGACGAUCGGUAGCUGGUCUGAGAGGACGAUCAGCCACACUGGGACUGAGACACGGCCCAG
rnacentral:rRNA from 1 species